rnacentral:lncRNA from 1 species
UUUGACGAUUUCUGUUCUUCAAUUUUGAAGCCAAAAUGCAUGGAAAUUUAACUUUUCGUACUGCACAAGUAUUAAUCGAAAUAAUAUUUCUUAAAUAAAACUGAAAUUUUGUAGAAAUUCACCAUUUGCUGCUAGAAUCACCUAGCUACGCGUGUUUUCUUCAACCAUUAUAAAUAUCCAUAACACGUUAAGCUUCUUCAAUACUCAUCCACUCCAAAAUAUAUUUGUGUUAAUUUUCUCUUAGAAACAAGCUUUUUUUUUAAAAACAAAACUUAGAAACAAGCUUGUGCACUAUCCAUCUCUCUCAUUUCAAACUUGAAAUUUAUAAGUUGUUGGUUAAUUGCACCAUGAGUUCUAAACACCCAAGCAUUCAGAAAGUUCUUUAUCCAACAACAAGGCCAUCGACUACAACAACUACCUCUAAAUCAACUGGGACUAAACAUCCAACCAUGGGGCAGAUCUUUGGAAUUAGAAACUAGAAAAUAUUUAGUUAAUUACACUUUUGGCCCUCCAAUCGUGAUUGUGCGAUUUUGGUAUCACACUUUUUUUUUUUGCGAUUUUGACCACUUAUGAUUUUCUCUUUAUGACGUGACAUUCUCCCUCUCAACAUUAGUAGCGAAUUUCAUUCGCUCUCACACUUAUGGUCUGAUUUUUUGGCAACAACAGCGUAAAUGAUGACACAUCAACGUAUAUUUUGGAGAAAAUUGAGGCUGCAAAAUCUCAAAUGAGAAAAACAGAAGGGGUCAAAAUCACCGAAGAAAAAAAGUAAUGGCCAAAGUCUACGAUCACAAUAGUUUGAGACUAAAAGUGCAAUUAAGCAAUAUAUUUUUACCGUUGUGUGUAAUAUACCUAUGUAGAUUUCCUUUAUUCGUUGAUUUAAAUUUAUUUCUUUAAUACAUAUAUUCCUUUGUGUUUGAUGUAAUAAGAAAGUUUAGGGUGUAUUACUUUGCAAAAAAUGAAAUUAUAAUUUUAUUAUCUAAAGCUUAUAUUAGUGUUGAAGUGGAAAUAUAUUCUCUCAACAAAUAAACUUGAUGAUCAAUAGAACUCAAGUUACAUCCUUAAGGAGUUCUUAGUUGAUAUGUUUAAAGUUGCAAGCUUUAGCUGAAGUUCAAGAAACAUGUAAUAAUGAGUAAACGUUGUAAAAAAUAUAAGAAGAAGAACACAAACGUAGAAAUGCAGGACAAGAACAAAAGUAAAAGAAAAUUGUAUUAUUGCAAGUAAAAUUAAAUUAUAUACAUCGUUUGAUCAAACCAAAGCCGUAUCCGAGGCAGGACGACCAUCCUAGACCCCAAAAAAUAAGUUUUUAAUUUGGACCAAAAAAUAGAUAAAAUAGGGAUCCAUUAAGCCCAGAACAACAAAGAAUACUAACAUUCUAAAGAGAGGUAUUAGAUGUUGAUGCAUGACGUCAGUUUCCAAAAGGAUACUUAGAGUUUUUCAAAAACACCAAUUUUCUCCUUUGCGUUUUCCAGUCAAAAAAUGGCAUUUUUGGGGAAAUUUGUUAGCCUGUAAUUUCGACAAGCUUAAUUAAUGCAGUCAACAUGCGUUCGCAUCUGUCCUUUCUGGAAUUAAAGUCAUUAUCCUCAGCAUGGAGUUUUCGACAGAGUCUGGACUUAGCAUUUGGAAGAGUUUAAAAGCUUCGAAGUUUGGACAAGAUUUGAUCCAGAGAAGAGUUUGGUCGAAGCCAAGCAAUUACAGUCGAAGAAGGAGAAAUUCAAAUUCAAAAGCACGGUUUCCUUAGUGAAGACGUGGGGAACAAGCAGUUUUCGGUGGAAGGAGUGUUGUUCGUGGCAGUUAGCUUUUUUCAGUUAUUUUUACUAUGUAUAAAUUGUAGUUUUUCAUAUGAAAAAUAGGUCGCAAAUCACUAAUAGAAAUUCUAGCACUCGAAGUACCGACGUCUAGAGAAAAGAGUCAUACAGAAUGUAUGUAAUUUGAUUUGUCGAACCACCAUUACAUUAAUGUAAUGCAAUUUACCUUUCCUUUAAGUUAUGUGUUUUAAACUUUUGAGUUUUUUACUUUUACUUGCAUUUACUGUGUUUUUCCUUGUCGAGAGACAGUUAUUUUCUUGCAAAGCUUCAUUAGUUCAUAAAGCAACCUAAGAACUUGAUUAACAUUCAUACAUUUUCUGAAAAAAGAUUGCACAACAUGUCAUAUGAUUUUCUAGUUUUAUCCUGCUUGUGAUAAUCAAAGCUAGAAUUAUAGUUUAUCAAAAACACUGGCAAACAUUCAGUAACAUUGUUACAUACUUUAUUAUUUUGAUGCUUCCAUAUAAUCCAUAAACUCACAUCAAAUACAUGUUUUUGCUCAUCGAGAUCUUGUUAGAUAGAAAACACAUUUCCCUUAUAGUUAUUGUCCUGGAAUUAGGAGCCGUUGCAUUUUUAUUUGAAUGUUCAAUAUUUUCUACAGUUAAAUAUUUAUUUUCACUAAUUCAUAUUUAAAUAUUUCUUUUCUCUAUGAAUAGUCAACAUUUCAUUUUAGGUUCUUAAUUAUUAUUAUUUUUUUUAAUUUUAGCCCGAACAAAAUUUCGUCCACACUUUUGGUCCAUACUUUUAAGUCAGGUCAUGUGCAUCCUUCAACUUUUUGAAUGAAUUUUGGCAUAAAUGUUCAAAAUAAUAAGGGUAUUAGUGAAGUGUAAAUGAGAGUACAAAACAUAAUUAAAUAUUAAAUUUAAAGCACUAAAAACAUAAAAAUUUAUAUUUAAUUUAUGUUAAAAAACUCUAUUUUAACCGGAGGAAAUAAUAAAGGUAUUAGUGCAGUGUAAAUGAUAUAAAACAUGAAUUAAAUAUGAAUUUUAAAACACUAAAAUCAUAAAAAUUCAUAUUUGUUCCACAUAUUUUAAAUUUUAUUUUGUUAGUUUUUGAGAUUUCAUAUUCUUUGCACGACUCUAUUUGUUUUGAUUCUCGUCUUUGUACGAUGUGUUUUUUGUUCCACGUCUUAUUGUUAUGUUUAUUUGAUUCGGGUUGAAAGAAGAGCUUUGAGCAAGUGCAUAUAUUCAAUAUUUUGAAGACUUGAAUAUAGUCAUAUUGAUAUAACUAGAGUUGUCAAAACGGGCUGGCCCAUUUAGCCCGAUUAAUUAUGGGCCUUAAAUAUUGAGCCCGAAUUUUAAUAUGGCUUUUUAGUAAGGCUGCGGGUAGCCCGUUAGCCCGCAUAAAAAAAUUCCUGUAAAUUAUAUAUAUUUUUCAAAUAAUUCUUUACUUAGUUGAUUUUCAAACUAAAAAACAAAAGUGAAAAUUCAAUAGAUUAACAAAAAUAUAAAAUUAUAUUUACUCGUUUCGUUAUUUAUAGUUUUAAAGAUCGAAUAUAUAAAUAUUUAUAACCAUAACGUAUCUAAUUUAAUUAAAAUCUUUUUCCUCGUCGUUUUAGUUUACGAUGUUUGUACGAAAAUGUUUACGAUUUAUUUUUGUGCUAGACAUUAAUUAAACAUAUUAAAAAUAUUAUUUAUAAAAAAAUCGUAGGAGUAUUUUAUAGUACUUUUUUAAAAUAAAAAAAUGUAAUUUUUAAUACAGGUCGAUCCGUUUAGCCCACGGCCCGUGUAGGGCCGGGCUCAGGUAAUAUACUUCAAGUCCAUUUUUCAACCGGACUUUUUGGCCUGACACGAUAAAGCCCAAAGCCCGUUAGGCCCGACCCUAAAUGGGACGGGCCAUCCGUUUUGACAGCUCUAGAUAUAAUAUGAUGCAGUGAGUUUGUUUGCAGAUUCAUUUUUUAUAUUUUAUUUUAGCGACAUUGAAUUUGUAUUAUAUCGAUGUAAUCUAUCAAUUUAAAUGAAUAAAUAUCUUCCAUUUUUGUAAGAAAAAAAUGAAAUCCAAAUUUGUUAUUUCUUAAAAAAAAAAUAAAAAACAAAGUUAGUCAUAUAUUAGCUAUUUGGCGUGGGCGUGUUGCAAACCGCGGGCUUGUAAAAUUCAUGAUAUGUUCAUUAUAAAUACAAUACAGUAACAACCACCAUCCACCGCAUUUGAAAUCUUUGACGAUUUCUGUUCUUCAAUUUUGAAGCCAAAAUGCAUAGAAAUUUAACAUUUCGUACUGCACAAGUAUUAAUCGAAAUAAUAUUUCAUAAAUAAAACUGAAAUUUUGUAGAAAUUCACCAUUUGCUGCUAGAAUCACCUAGCUACGCGUUUUUUUUUUUUUUUUUUUUUUUUUUUUUGUAUUUGGGAUAUAGGACAACUCUUGUUAUUUUCCUCAUAGAUCAAUUGAACUCUACCGAGGUUAGAGUUACUCAUACCAAUUACCAACCACCAAAAAUUAAAAGAUAACAUACAGUACACAAGACCUGAAACAAUCCAAUUCCAAUUCCAAUUCCAAUGAGUUACAAUUACAAAUAUUAGAUUAAGUUUGAAAUCCUUGCUGUUAUCAGACACGAUUAUUCUUGAGUUUCUAUCCAUCUAUAAAUUUUUAAUUGUGUUUUAUUAGUUUAAUUUGUAUCUAAUCAAUGUUUAUCUCUAUAUUAAGUACGUUGCACAGUUAAAAAGAAAAACAAAAUUGAUGAAAGAACUCUAUUUAAAAUUUGUAACACAAACUAGGCUUUUAGACAUGCUAAUAGGCCAGACUAGACUUUUAAAAAGGUCAGGCCGGACUUAAAAUAAAGUCUUUGACAGGUUAAAGGCCAAGGUUUAGGCAUUAGUUUUUCAACUAGGACCAGCUUGUUUAAGUGAAGCCUGACUCGGCCCGACCUAUUCCCACCCUAGUUGCAGGAGACUUACUGUUAAGUUUUUGACUGUGCAUACUUAUUAUCAGUUAGGUCCCUGACAGUAAACUCUUACUGUCACUAAGAUCCCCGACAGUAAAUACUUACCGGCACACGACGUUUCUCAUGCUUCCAUGCAUUGGCUGUUAUUCCACGCCUACAACAUUUAUCAUGCUUCCAUGCAAUAACUCCUAUUCCAUUAACACAUAACAUGCCUAAAAAUGUAACAGCUAGGGGUGUUCAAAUCCAAACCGAUCCAAAAUAAAACUGCAAACUGAUAAAAAAAAACUGAAAACUACAAAAAUUGGAAUACUUUUUUAUGUUGUUUUGUAUAAAUCGCUAGGAUCAGAUCAGAUUUCGGAUCACUUUUUCAAAACCAAACUGAACCGAAAAAAUAAAUAUUAAUAUUUAUUUAUUGUUUUAUUAGUAUUAUAUAUUGAAUCAUUAUGUUACUUGUUGGUUUUUAAUCUUAUGUAUUACACUAAUUUAAUAUAUAUUAUUAUUACUUCGUAUAUUUAAAAAGUAAUCGAUAAUUUACAUACUAUAAUUUUAAUAUAUUUUGCAUGAAAUCCAUUAUUUUACGGAGUUUGUGUAAUAUUAACGUUAAUAAAAAAAUUAUGGUUACUUACUGAAAUUGACCUUGUAAUUUAUGCGAAGUCUGAAAAAUAACCCUUUAAAAUAAAAACCAUAUAUUCUAACUCUGUAAUUUGAUAUUCUUAUUAUUUUUCACCAUGUAAUAUAGUUGAAGUCCAAAAAAGCUACUUAGACGUUGAAUUUUUUCAGGCAUGUUUAGGACGUUAAAAUAUAGCUUUACACAAAAAAAUAUUUUUUAACUAAUGAUGAAUUAAUUAUGAAUUUUUAAAGCGUCAAAAAACAAAAAAACAAAAACCCGAACCUAAAAAUCGAAUUUUAAUUUCUUUCUAAGUAAACCUAUAUUCAUGGGACAAAUUUCGUUUUCUAAUUUUGUAGGCAUGACUAGAACUUCACAAGAACUAUCACCAUGAAAUUUUGGAUUUUUUAAAUGAGACACAAAUUAAUUAUGAAUUGUUUAAGAAAUUCAUAAUUAUGCGAAAACCUUUGCCACAUACUCUUUGUCAGCAUAAAACAUUUGCCACAUCAUCAGUUAACAAAAUUAUUUAACACUAGAGACUAAAGUGAUAAUAAAAGUGCACAUUCAAGGACUACUUUGUAUUUAAUCCUGAGUCAGGAAUCUUUGUGACAGCGAGGAACAGAGUCAGAGAACAAAGCGACCAUUUACUCAAUUUUUUUACUCAAUUGUAAAUGUAAAUUAGUUUUACAAUGAUAUUCAAUAAGAAUCAACUAUUUUCCUAUAAAAAAAACAAGAAUCAACUAUUUUUACUCAAUUGGAAGCAGUGGGAGAUGGUUUAGUGGAAUAAAUAAUUUCUAUUUGAUGACGAUUUACACUUAUUUAACAUUUGUCGGUCCGUAUCCUAUAUUCAUUUUAUUUCGAAAAUUAAUAUUUAAAUUUACGAGAAAAACAAUGGACUUAAUAUAUUUUUCUUCAUUUCAGCAAAAAAAAGGUUUAACAAUUUCCAAGUUUGUCAUAAAUUUGCAUUUACCGGUGAUAUUAACAAUCUUUGCCACCGUGCUUGGGUAAAGCGUGUAGCAACCGCGGAUUGUAAAAUUCAUGUUACGUUCUUUUUUUUUGUUUGACUCAAUUUCAUGCAAUAUACAAUAAUCAACUACCACAUGCAUAGAAUAGAAGGCUGUGACGGUUUCAUAUUUUAAUUUUUGAAGCCAAACUGUAGGGAAAUUUAACAUUUCGUAACACCCAAGGAUCUUCAUAAAAAUAUUUUCAUAAAUAAUAAAAUUGAAAUUUUGCAGAAAUUAUACAGAAAUUCACAAUGGCUUUCUUCUUUGAAUCGCCUAUAUAUAGUUUAGUUUCUUCGGCCAUUCAAAAUAUCCAUAACAUCGUAAAGCUUCUUCAACACUCAUCAAUUCCAAAUAAAAAAAACCUAUUGCUGAAUUGCACCAUCUCUCUCAUUUCAAAGUUGAAAUUUACAAGUUAUUGCUGAAUUGCACCAUGAGUUCUAAACAGCCAAGCAUUCAGAAAGUUCUUUACCCAACUACUAGGCCAUCAUCAUCAUCCUCUGCAACAACUACCUCUAAAUCAACUGGAACUAAAUACCCAACCAUGGACAAGAUCUUCGGAAUUAGAAAUUAGAAAAUAUUUGAUUUAAUUGCACUUUUGGUCUUCCAGUGUUUGUGAUUGUGCGAUUAUAACCCCCUUCAUCUUUAGCAAUUUUGGCUGUUAUAAGUAGGGAGUUAAAAUUUCACAAUCACAACUCUUUGGAGGAUUAAAAUUGCAAUUAUCCCAUAAUAUUUUUAGUUUAUUAGUAUCGUCAAAGAAAGUGUUUUUAAUAGGAGUUUUAUUAAUUACAGCAUGUACUUAUGUAAUUUCCUUUAUUCAUUGAUUUCAAUUUGUUUAUGAAAUAUAUAUUCUUUUGUAUUGUAACUUAUAAGAAAGUUUAUACUCUAUUUUCUUUGUGCAAAUAUUUUUAAUUCGUAAAAUUUAUGUCGAUUUUACUUCUUAAUAACAAGGAGAAAGCAAUCACAUCAGCUGCGUAUUCUCA